UGUUAUUUGUAAUAUGGACAAGGUUGUUCUUUGUUAUCCAUCUCUUACACAAUUCAACGAACAUUUUAUGCGAUGUUCAUGUUCUUGGAGUAAUAGUGUAAAUAUGGUAAUGGGUGGCUAAACAUGUCUGAGAGAUAGUUAACGUCUUCCUUAAUUUUAAUGCAUUCUUGAAGUUAUUUUUAGUUGGAGUUGCAAAGAAGAAGAAGAUAGUGAAUGGUCCAAUUCUAGGUUUGCCCUUAGUUACACUUAUCUUAGUUAUGUUCCUAGAGGAAUAUACUAUGUACAGUUGCAAGAGCAACCUCUAACAAUCAUAUUCCUAGAUGGUUACUCCAGUCGAGUUGCAAGGGCAAACCGUAAAGCAUAUUUAUGUAGUAGGACAAAGAGUAAAGAAAUUGAAUUAUGUAAUGUUGAUCAGCUCGUUCCUGGGCAGGUAAACUUAUACUUUUUUAUGUUUAGGACUAAAUUAUACUUUUUGAUCUAUUUUACUAAUUGGGCAGGUAAAUUUGAGUGUUGCAAUUA
rnacentral:misc_RNA from 1 species